rnacentral:rRNA from 1 species
CAUGCCUAACACAUGCAAGUCGAACGAUGCUUUCGGGCAUAGUGGCGCACGGGUGCGUAACGCGUGGGAAUCUGCCCUUAGGUUCGGAAUAACAGUUAGAAAUGACUGCUAAUACCGGAUGUCGAUAAGCCAAAGAUUUAUCGCCGAGGGAUGAGCCCGCGUAGGAUUAGCUAGUUGGUGUGGUAAAGGCGCACCAAGGCGACGAUCCUUAGCUGGUCUGAGAGGAUGAUCAGCCACACUGGGACUGAGACACGGCCCAGACUCCUACGGGAGGCAGCAGUGGGGAAUAUUGGACAAUGGGCGAAAGCCUGAUCCAGCAAUGCCGCGUGAGUGAUGAAGGCCUUAGGGUUGUAAAGCUCUUUUACCCGGGAUGAUAAUGACAGUACCGGGAGAAUAAGCACCGGCUAACUCUGUGCCAGCAGCCGCGGUAAUACGAAUCGAAUUCC